rnacentral:rRNA from 1 species
AACGUAGGAUCCGAGCGUUGUCCGGAAUCACUGGGUGUAAAGGGUGCGUAGGCGGGUUUGCGCGUCAGGGGUGAAAGACCCGGGCUUAACGGGGGGGAUGCGCUUGAUACGGCGGGGCUUGAAUGGGGGUGAGGAAGGGGGAAUUUCGGGUGUAGCGGUGAAAUGCAUAGAUAUGAGGGAGAACACCGAAUGGGAAGGCAGCCAGCUGGGCCGCUACUGACGCUGAGGCACGAAAGCGUGGGGAGCAAACAGG